rnacentral:rRNA from 1 species
UACGUAGGGGGCGAGCGUUGUCCGGAUUCAUUGGGCGUAAAGCGCUUUAAGGCGGUUCGCUAAGUCGGGUGUGAAACCUCCAGGCUCAACCUGGAGACGCCACUCGAUACUGGCGUGACUAGAGUUCGGUAGGGGACCACGGAAUUCGUGGUGUAGCGGUGAAAUGCGCAGAUAUCAGGAGGAACACCGGUGGCGAAGGUGGGUCUCUGGGCCGAAAUUGACGCUGAGGAGCGAAAGCGUGGGGAGCAAACAGG